ACCAGGAAAGGGGACAUUUAAAAUGUAAAUAAAGUAAAUAUCUAAUAAUUUUUUUAAAAAGAUGUGUGUUGGAAUAUUUAGGUGGAUAAUUUCUAUAAAAAUGACUUCCUAAGGAUUCCUAAGUCCCAUCCUGUGUCCAAGAUGUUACCUGUCAGCUUUCAACCCGGAUCUGUGCUCAAGAAUUACAACUCAGCUGGCUUCACUUUCCUGUGCCAUUAUGAGACUCUGACCUCUCUACUCAGAGCAAGACAGAAAGGUUUGGGAAGGUUCACAGAAGAGCAUGUCUUCCCUCCUAACUCCAUAGCUGUCGUUGAUAAUAUUAAUUGACGGGAGCAACAACAGAAGCAAGAAGAUGAGUCAGGAGGUUCCUAGAGUGAUCUGGGUAACAGACAGUGGGAAUCCGACACAGCUUGGUAGUAAUGGAUGUGUGUGAGUGUGUGUGUGUUGUUGUUGUGGUUGUUGUUGUUGUUGUUGUUGUGUGGAGAUACAGCAAGAGGGAGUUGUUGAGAGUCAAAUCAAGGUGCCAGGGUUUUAGGUCUGAUUAGCUGCAAAGAUGGAGUCGAUUUGAUCAGUGGUGGAGAAUCCUGCUGAAAUGCCUGGAGAAAAGGAAGGAUGAUUCUUGGUUUUGGUCGUGGCUAGGUAAUGGUUCCUGUUGUACUUCCAUAUAGAGAUGUUGAGCUUGAGUUUGUUCUAUGAGUUAAGAGGAGGGCCUAGGUCAGAGGUUCUCAAACUGUGGGUUGAGAAGCUCUUUGGCAAACCUCUAUUGCCAAAAAAUAUUCACAUUACAAUUCCUAACAGUAGCAACAUUACAGUAUGAAGUAGCGGUGAAAACAAUUUUAUGGUUGGGGUCACCACAACAUGAAGACCUGUAUUGAAAGGUCACAGCAUUAGGAAGGCUGUGAACCACUGGCCUAGGUGGAGAUAUAGCCAUGUGUAUUUAAAUCCAUGAGAUUGGAUAGGAUGAUCAGGUCUGGUUAUAAAAUAGAAGAGGUCCAAGAACUGAGGCCUGUGGGUUCCCCACAUUCAGAAGCUAGAGAUGAGGAACUAGCAAGAACAACUGAAGAAGCCAGGAGCAGUAAGAAAACUGGGGAAAUAGUGAAUCCGGAGGAGCCCAACAAGACCACCAAUUUUGUUUGCUAUUCAAGUGACUUCCCUGGUCAAGGCCUUCUUUCCCAAUUCUGCUCCUGACUCUGCCUAGGCUCCUGGAGACAUUCAGCAUUGCUCAGCUUCCAAGUCCUUAAAUUGUCUCUGGUACCUUGUUCUCUUGGAAUGUGCUCCUGGUGUCUCUCCACUUUUCAGAUCUCUCCUCUAGCUGCUUCUCUGCACAGUUGUCUUUUCUUCCCCACCCCCACACCAUUAUCUUCCCUGCUCCCUCACCUCCCAUCUAUCUGCCCAUUGAUGAUUCUCAAGUAUCACCAACCCUGACUUUUCACCCCUGUACCUAAUACAUCUCCCCACUUGGAUAGUUCGUGGACUCCCGACUUGACAUGCCAGGUGGAAUUGUUUGUUCUCCCUGUCACCAAUGCCUGUCCACUCUUUCACCAUUGUCAGCCACAGGCAGCUGCAAUGUGUCAGCUACUUCCUAUUUCAAAAGUCAGUGAUUUCUUUUUAAGGGUCAAACAGUAAAUAAUUUGUCAAUGAAGCUGAAGUUUGCAUAAUUUUCACCUUUUUUAGCCAUUUAAGAAAUAGCAAAUGCUUUCUUGGCACUAAGGCUGUGCAAGCUGUGUGGAGGCAUGGACAGCAGUUUGUUAGCCUGGGUCCAGCCAACUCUCCUGCAGAUUCCACCUUCUCAACACCGUGACUUUCCACUAGGCCUGCAAAGGUCCUUUGCCUUCUUUUACGUGAAUUUUUUAUUUUUAAAAUUCUACCUGUUUUUUGUUUGGUUGGUUGGUUUUUGUUGUUGCUGCUGUUGCUGUUCUUUUGGUUUGGUUUUUGUUUUUGUGGGUUUUGGUUGUUGUUGUUUUUUUGUUUUUGUUUCUUUUGUCUUGUAGUAUACACCCAACUAGUCUAUCUCUGGUUCAUUUUUCUUCUUUCCUGAUUCUUUGGUCAAUGUAUUGUUUUGUUUUAGUUUGCUUUAGUUUUUAGGACCUUACUGUAUAACUAUGGCUGCCUUGGGACUUUAGGUGAGUCCCUCCUGUCUGCCUACCAAGUGCUGGGACUGCGGGUGUGGACCAUCAUGUCUGAAAAUACGUUGUCUAAUCCCCCCAAGAGUUAUUUCUAUUUAUGUCUAUGAGCUUUUUGUCUGCAUGAAUGUGUGGGUACCACAUGCAGGUACAUGCCUGGUGCUGGAAGAGGUCUCAGAAGAGCAUGGUGGAUCCCUUGAACUAGGGUUGCAGGUGGUGUGAGCUUCCAUGUGAACCAAUCCCAGAUGCUCUGGGAGCUCAGCCAUUGUUCUGCAUCCCCGAGCCUUCUCUCUAGCCCCUGAUUUUUAUUUUUGUUUGUUUAACUUUUAAACGUAAAGGGAACUUCUCCCCAGGCUUCUCUGUAUUCCAGGCUCUUUUAAGAACUCUUCAUUUAAUCACAGCAAGCCCCCUUCAUUCCCUCAGCAUUCUGUUCUUGUGUUCUUACCUUUGGGAUGGAGAGAAGGUUCAGCUGUCUUUACAGACUCACAACAAAAGUGCCAGAUUCUUCUUGCCUGUUCACCUACUCUUUGACAUUUCUAAAAACGACCUUCUCUAUUCAAUAAACUCUAUUCAUCAUCAAUACCCAAUCUGAGAGCCUGAGAACAUAACUCGGCUGGUAGAGUACUUGCCGGGCAUACGUGAACUCCUGGGUUCAAUCUCCACACCACGUAGAGCAGGCAUGGUGGUGUGGCCUGCAGUCCCAGCAUGUGAGAUCUGGAGGCAAGAGGGCCAAAAAUCCAAGAUCACCCUCUGCUAUGUAGCAAGUUCAAGACUGUCCUAGGCUUUGUGUGGUUAGUUUAUUUUUAUAAAAAUCCCCUCUGUAUGUCACUUAUAGCACUCUGAAGAUGAGAGCCUCUGGCCUGCCACUCUGUUGUGACUCCAGGCACAUUCCAUUCAGCCCUCUAUGUCUGUGAGUGGAACCCACUUCGGGAGUCUUCUCUCUGUAGCUCUGCGUAGUAUUUAACACACAUGGUUUUGGGUUUUUUGAGGGAUGAUUUCCCCAUAUUUACCUGGUGAAAAUUGCCCUCACUAACAGGUUGCAUAAUCACAGUCAGUUGUGUCUCCUUCCUGGUGGUGUUUGUCCAUUUCUAAAAUUAGGGGAUCAGGCUUGAAUAACCUCUGGGGGCCCUCACAGCCCUCCUGUGAUUUCUGAGCUCUGAUUUCAUCAGGCUUCUCUUAAACUGCAUUUUAUUGUCUGCAUGGGGUGGUCUGGGAAUUACGUCACCACAAAGACUCUUUCUCUCCUUUGCUAAUGAAGGCACCUCUGUGUCAGAGGAGGAGAUGGAGAGCUGAUAAGUGGGCUCCAGCCCAAGGACACCUCCAUAUUAGGGAUCGUUCUCUUCUCCUGGAAUAUCUUUAUUUGGUUAACAAGCAUAGUUCAUAAUUACGUUUCAGCCAUUAGUACCGGAGAAGAGAUGGAGUCUUUCUGUGGACAUUUGUGAGCACCUAAAACCUCUACUUGCGGUUGUAGAUAAAUAGCCAACGUUUAAAGCAGGCCACACAACAGACUCAAUAUUAAAUUACCUUUAAAAGUAAAAUACUUUUAAGAGCCAGGUGUAAACUUUUGUGCAGUGUCCAGUUUGUUGUGCAGCCUGAAUCCAGUAAGAAAUCCAGGUGAGGAUUUCACCUGAGGACAAGAGCCCUGGAUUUGAAGCUACCUAAGCCUGGGCCUUUGUCCCCACCAAUCACAGUCCUCUGUUUCCCCUGCAGGUGCCAGGCAGGCAAGAGUUGUGUGUGUUCUGGUCACAUUUAUGUCCCAGGCGUCUGUCCCUGGUGUCUGUCAUAGCGCAGAGUAUCCCACACCCUCUCCAUGAUGUGUGUCUUAACUGGAUCGGACCAUCAGUAGGCAGCUUGUUCCCAUCAAGGAAGGCCCCAAUUUACCUCAAAUUCCCUUGUAAUCCUGGGUGACUUCUCUUGUUGCUGGAUUCGAUCUAGAUCUCAACUUAUGGUGUGUGUGUUUAGCUUGUGAAAAUCCCUCCCUUUUCUCUCCCCAGGAAUGUAUCUUCUUUGUGGGAAGACAUUCUCAGUGAGUCCUAUUAUGUGGCAGUCCUCUAGGAGCGGAGACCAAGUCCUAGGAUAUGUGCAUAGUGAGUGUGUAGCAUGAAGGAGGGGGCUGGCAAGGCUUCCUCUGAGUGGCUCUGUACACGUUCAUGUGGGCACACUGAAAUAAAGGACUGAGAUGUAGUAGCUCACUGGCAAGACCAGGGGGCAGGAAGCAGUAUAGGCAGACCAGACUCUCUAAGGUUCAGAAUUAUUUCAACCCAGCCCCCUCCCAUCCUUUCUUGUCAGCCUCAACGUACUUUCACUGAAGUGCAAAGCUUAAGGAGCUGCAAAUGAACCAGGAACAAGGCUACCACUCCUCAGCAAGAGUCCUGCCUAUCAAUCAAUCGUGACAGCUAAUUAGGUGGUGAGGCACCAGCCUGUAACCCCAGCUACCUGAGUCUCAAGUUCAGGUGCUACCUAUCGUACUUUGAAAAACCCAGUCUUAAAAUAAAAUAGCAAGACUAGCCUGGUCGAGGACAGCCAGGGUUACAUAGAGAAACCCUGUCUUCAAAAACAAAAACCAAUAAGGAGGUGACCAAAGGGCCCAUACAAACCAUGGCAAAGCCCACGGGUGUCUGUAGGAAGUGGGGCAGCUUGGACUGCUGUUCCCUAAGCACUAAUCACUGCCUUUUGAGAUAGUGUCUCUUAUUGGCCCAGAACUUGCCAAGAAGUCUAGGCUAGCAGGCCAGUGAUCCCUAGGGACCUGCCUGUCUCCAUCUCCCCUCCAAGGUUAGGAUUCUAAGCACAUACUAUCAUGCCAUUUGGGCUUUUGCUGAUAUAUGUGAGUUCUGGGGACUGAACUCACAUCUUUGUGCUUGCGAGGAAGCACUUGACUGUGCCAUCUCCUCCGCUUCCUUCUGUUGACAAGUGGGUUUUGCAGGUGACCUGCAUCUGGGACAGAAGUUAAUCAUCAGAUGGGUCACAUCUGCUGUGGACCUGAGCCUGCUGGAGCACGUGUCUGUCACACCCCAUACUUCAGGGAGUGUUUCUGGGGGUCACUUUGUAGCAGAUGUAGCCACAGUACUUAUUAACACCACUGCUCUCAGCUGUGCUGUGGCAAGCACAGUUCAGCUCUCUGCAGUCAGGAGUGACGCUCUGCACCAAGUAUAGCUGAGGUGACCUGGAGGUGGCCACAUUGGGCUGGCAUGGGUUGUUUCUACCAUGAUGUGAAUGCAGGUUGUGGGUACCCCAUGACUCAGGAGGCUCAGUGUAGCAGGCUCCAUGUUCCCCUCUCUCCAUAACACCUUCAUUGGUAGGAUAUUAACUCUGCUAAUUGCAGAGUCCCCUGACUUCUUGAUUCAGAAUAGUGAUUCUACAGUCAAUGUUUGCCUUGGCUUGCAUGACUAUGGGGGCUGCAGGCAGAAGAGGAGGUAGAAGAUGAGGCACUAAGGCAGCAGGUGUGGGCAUUCUGAACAGAGACUCUGAACAGUAUCUGUCACAUGCCUUAGUUUUUCUAUUACCAUCUUUCUUGUUGCUGGGACAAAAUACCUGGUGGAAGGAAGGAAGGAAGGAAGGAAGGAAGGAAGGGAGGGAGGGAGGGAGGGAGGGAGGAAGGAAGGAAGCUAGCUUAACUUGGCUCACAGUUCCAGGGUGCAUUUAUGGGAAAGAGGCCAUGGCAGCAGGAGCAUGAGCCAGCCAGCCAUAUCGCACCUGCAGGCAGGAUGCAGAGGGAAACAAUGCUGGUGCCCACUGCCUCCUUUUUAUUUUGUCUUGGACCCUACCCCAUGGGAUGGUGCCACCCACAAUCCAGGAUGGCUCUUUGCUGUUCUGUAAAAACCUUUCUGGACACGUCUUCAUAGAUACACUCAGGGAUGUGUUUCUAUGGUGAUCCUAAAUCCAGUUAAGUUGACAGUCACGAUUAACCGUCACGGCCUUGAAUCAGAGAGACUUAUGGGAAUCCGGGGCACAGUCUCAGAUGCAGGGUCCUGAGGAGAAAGGCCAGCAGGCUGGGCUCCUCACUGAGUAACAGCUUGAGCUGUUGAUAACCACUACAGAAUCACAAUUUCACUGGCUCCAUGAGGCCCCGAGAGGGUGUUCACAAAGGAGCCUCCAGCUUCUUGCCCUAUUCACCCCGCUCCCUCGCACCUCAGGCUUGGAAAUAAACAGUCCUCUCUGCUGGAAGGAAUUUUCCUAUUUACCAUAAGGCUGAGUACACAUACACACCCUUCCUGGCUCGCAGCCCUGGUGGAGCAGACCUGCAGAUGACAGGUAGUUAAUAGUGACAGCUGGGAGAAGCCUGGGCAGCAGGAGCUGACAGUUUUGAGGUUGUUUGCAAAACACAGGGGGAGGGUAACCCAGUUCCAAUGUAAAGCAAGUCUGAGGGUGUAGCCCUUGUCAGGGAGCUGCAGCUGCGUCUUGGCUGAGGGUUGCAAGGCGUCCUGGUGGGCUCGGUAGCCCCUCCAGCGCCUGUCCAGUCUCCCGGAGGAAAAAUGACGCCUCACCUGCUUUUCCUCACUCCCGUCAUUAUGGGAAAUUGCAAGGCUCCCUGGUGACUCCGAAGGAGAAGAUUGAUUUGUUGCUUCUGAUUGUCACUGUGCUAAUGUGACAGGGUGAUGGGCACCCAGAUUCACGCCUAGUAAUGGCCCUGCCAGAGGUGGAUGUUAACACAAUUGGGACCCGACACUUCAAUAAAUCGGGGACAUUCUACCACAGAGAUCAGAGUUCAGAAUUGCUUAAAUUGGUGUUGAAGCAGGUGGGGAAGAGGAGUCCAGGGGCCAUGAAUUUCAUGGUUGGCAAUUGACUUUCAUUUUGGAAGGCCUGACUGUCAGCUUUUCCAGUCUAUGACAUCAAUUGAAGUCAUUUGGACUCCUGGCUACCUAGCCCUUUCAGGAUUGCUGGUUCUGGGAAUUGUGAUUCAUGGUGUUCUUGUGUGAAAAAAAAAAAAUCUAACAGCCUCUUCUGAACCUCUGGGGUUGGAAGAUUGUGUUUGAUGGGGAGGAUGGAGGGAGUGUGAAUGACAGAUUCCGCUCCUGCCUGGUGCGCUGAUCCCUCCCAAGCCACCCUUCUUGCCCAGACCUCUUACCUUAGGGCCUCUUGCCUUAACUUGCAGGUUCAUUAACCUGGGUGUCAUGAUACUGUCAUGCAGUAGUACCUUGUCUUCACGUAGCUUCUCGUGAGGUGGGAAUGCACAUUUUAGGUCUCUGCUGGGAGUUGAAAGCCAGAGGAAAGACUGGUCCCUAUAGAGGAAUGGUAAUUAAAAAAAAAAAUCUAUACUGAGAUAUAACCUAAAGGUGUUGUGUUUGCUGUUGUACAAUCAUUGCUAUAAGUUGAAGAUGUUUUCUCUGCCUGCUUCCCCAUCCCUCUACCUCAGUCUACUCUUUAUUUCCAUGGAUUUGCUUACUGUCCUGGAUAGCUUUAAGAUCAGCUUGACAUAGAUAGCCUCAGCUGAGGAAUGGCCUGCAUCAUAUUGGCCUGUGGGCAUGACUGGAGAAUUAUCUUGAUUGUUAAUUGUUGUAGGAAGGUCCAGCCCAUCAUGGGCAGCAUCAUCCCUAGACAGGUGGUCCCCAACUAUGUAAGAAAGCAAGCUGAGUAUAACAGCCUACAAGCCACCUAGCAAACAAUAAGGUACACAAAGUUCCUGUGUACUUCCGCUGUGAAGGGAGUUCCUUUGGCCAAGAUGCUGUGUGGAUUAGCAAGAAGGCUUGCCUUCCGGUUCCUGCCUUGACUUCUCUCAGUGAUAUACUGUGACCUGGAAGUGGAAGCUGAAAUAAACCCUUUCUUCCCCUAAAUUCUGGUCAGAGCGUUUGAUUAUAGCAACAGAAACUAGAACACUUGUUUUAGACAUUGCUUCUAUUUAUACAAUGCAACUUUCUGCAUCUGAUCUCUUAGCAUACAUAAUAUUGUCAAGGUGGCCACAUAUUAGCAUGUGUCAGAAUUUCAUUUCUUUUUAUGGCUGGGAAAUGUUCAUUUGGAUAGAUGUACUUACUCAUCAGCUGGUGGACGAAGGUUGUUUUUGCUUUUGUUUUGUUUAACCUAUUACAAAUUAGCACUUUGAAUUUUGACAUGUAAAUAUUUGUACGGCUCUGUGUUUUCAUCUCCCUUGGGUACCUAAAAGAGACAUUGCUGGGCUAUAUGGUAAUCACCAUGUUUGAUAUUUUGAGAAAUUGCCAAACAGAUCAAUAAUUGGGUUGCAGAGGUUACUAGGUGGUUAAGUGCCUGCUGUACAAUCAAGGGGACCGGUGUUUGUACCUCUACAACAUACAUAAGUGCCAGGGGUCGUGGCAGUUUACCUGUAAGUUCAAUCUUAGAAGGUAGAAGGUACCUUAGAAGGCCAGGUUCAAUCUUAGAAGAGAACCAACCCCUGAGUAAGCUGGGAAGUGAGACUGGUCAAAACAACCAGUCCCAGGCUUGACCGUGAGACUCUGUCUCAAAGAGUAGGGUGGAAGAGUGACAGAGGAAGAUUCCCAUCACCUUCUGGUCUCCUCACAUUGACACAAAUGUGAAUAUGCACACUGUAUGCAUGUGCAAAGGCACACACAGCAAACACAUACAUAUGCAAAAAAGGUGUGUGGGCCUGUUCUCACGAGCUGUGUAUGAGGAGACCAGUUCCCUCCUGUCCUCAUCAACACUUGUUAGUGUCCAUCUUUCUCAUGAUACCAUCCUUUGCUUCUAUUUGUGUUUCCUUGGUGGCUGAUCUUGAGUAACUUUUCACGUGCUUUCUGGCCACUUGGAUGUCUAACUGGGCACCAGUUCUUUAAAGUCCACAGAAUUCAUGAGCAUCCCUUGAGUAUUAGCCAGAAAGCUGACCAUUGAAGCCAUCUCCUCUUCUUCAUUUUUGACAUUGGCAGAGGGAAGUAGAGACAUGAUUCACCUUGAGUUAGGCACAUUUCAUCUUAUAGAGUUACCAUAUUCCUGAAAUAUUUUGUUAAGCAAAUGGUCAUACGUUUGUGACUUUCAUAAUUAAACUACAGGUUGCUUGCCUGAAAUAUAGAUAGCUUUGGCUCCAAACUAAAGAUUAAAAUGUAUACAUGUAAGUGAUGUAUAGAAUAGUUUGAUAACAUGUGUUACUUCCCUUCCUAUGACUAUAAUGAAAUGCCUGAGAUAGUUAGUUUAUAAAGAGAAAAGGUUUAGUUUGGUUUAUGGUUUUGAAGGUUUCAGUUCAAGAGUGGGCAGAUCUACUAUAGACCUACUCUGAACUCUGAGUUGCUGCUAGAUGUUCCAGGUGGUGAUGAUGGGAGCAUGUGGCCCAGCAAACUGGCCAUCUUGUGGUUAAGAAGCAAAAGGGAGGAGUGUGGGCUGGGGUCCUACACUCUAGUGACCUGAGGAUCUCUCAGUAGAGACACGAUCCCCUGUAAGGUCUGCAUCUUUAGCACAUGGUUUUGAGGGGCAAUUAUCUAAGCCAUAGUCUAUGUUAUUACUUUUCAGACAAUAAUAGUGACAGCAGGCACAUAAUACAGUCCCACUCUGGGGCCAGGUUGCUGUCUUAUACAUAUUAACUUAUUGGAUCUUUGAAGCAAACCUAUGAAGGGAGUUCACCUCUUCAGAUGAGGACACUGAGGCAUAGAGAGGCCAGGGAGAUUUUCCAAAGGCAAAGGUCCUGUGCUAGGGAAGGCACUUCUAGCUGUUGUAACAGCUAGACUCUCAGUUCUCUGAAGUUUAACACAAUAAAAAUUAGUAUAACAAGGAAUCUUACAUCCCUGCAGAGCCCACUGGCAUUGUUCUUGAUUACACUGUUUCCACAUGGUCAUUUGAGGAUUCAGGCCUUUUAUUAGACAGGAUAUCAAUAUGUAGCCUGCCUCUGCCUCCCUAGGCUGGGACUGAGGUGCAUACCGCCAUGCAGUGCAUGGUUUGUGUUGUGUUGUUGUUUAAAAGCAAAUAUGAGAUGGACAUCGUAGUGUGUGACUGCAGUCUUACUACCUGUGAAGUGGAGGCAGGAAAAUUAGGAGUUUGACUUAGAUACAUAGCAAGAUUAUCCUCAGGCCACUAGCAAGUUUGAGGCCAUUGUGGGCUAAAUGAGACCCUGUGUCAAAAUUUGCCUAGGUCACUUAUUUGAGGCUUAUUUCAAGGUUUGGAACAUGUAGAUUAAUUUCAAUGGCACUGUGAUCUCUCAUAGUGAAUAAACUGUAAUGUUUUCGAAAUCUAGAUAAUUAACUGCCCUCUGGAUCACACACCAUAUGUCUCUAAGAGCAACAGCUCUUUAAGAGAAUGUCAGGUGAUAUUAGCAAUGAACUUUCACACGCUUGAUGAGACCAAUUAGCAGCUUCCAUCCACACUAAACAAACACAGAUCUGUCCUAAGACUUUCUGUGUUUUUAACUUUACUUCCUAAAGUCACUGAUAAUUGAUGCUUCUUUCUUGAGUGGGAUUCUAACAUGCAACAUGGUAUUUGGGGGCUGGGGCUGUGAUUUAGUCACCUUCUGUUACAUAAAAAAAUUUGAGGCCAGCCUGGGCUACAUGAAACUCUGUCUCAAAACAAAAAGAAAACGUUUCAGGGCUAGAGAUAGCCUAGUGUUACCCAUGCGCCUAGCAUUCACAAGCCUUCCAGCCCUCUAGGUCCUUGGUGACCACCAGAAAGAGGUGGAAGAUACGGCUACCAUCAAGCAAAAAUGAGGCUGAGGUGGCGCACGCCUUUAAUCCCAGCACUUGGGAGGCAGAGGCAGGUGGAUUUCUGAGUUCGAGGCCAGCCUGGUCUACAAAGUGAGUUCCAGGACAGCCAGGGCUAUACAGAGAAACCCUGUCUCGAAAAACCAAAAAAAAAAAAAAAAAAAAAAAAAAAAGAGAGAGAAAUAUAAUCUCAUUGCCUCUGAAGAGAGAUGGGAAAUCUAUUCCGUGGUCUCUUACUGAGUGAAAGGAAGGCACAAGAUUUGAACCCAGGAGGCCUGGCUCAACAAGUUGCUCUUCAAGUCUUUCUUUCCUUCCAUUUCACGAGUGAUGGAACGCAGUGGCUCUCCAGCUCCAUUAUUGCUUUCUUUAAAAUUUUUAAAAAUUUAAAAAUUUAUCUUUGGGUGUGCUAAUACAUGAUUGUGGUAGAACCUGCAGUUGAAGGGGUGGGACCUGGAGGGUGAUUGUUGCUAUUGCUACUUUAAGAUACAUUUGAAAUUUUUCACUUUGAUUUUGAGAAAAACAAAAGACUUUUGUGAGUCCUGAAGGUAGACCUUAGAUGCCCCUGUAGUGAGUAAAAUGCCAGGCGUCCUGAGCACUGAAUGUACUAUGGGAGGGGAUAACUCCUUUGCAGGGCAGGUCUUCAGAAGGUCCAUGUGUGAGCCUUUGGCAGGUUUUUGUUUGUUUAUUUUAUUUUGUUUGGAGAUAGGGUCUUACUAUGUAGCCUUGGAGUCCCUGAGACUCACUAUGUAGGAACAAGCUGGCCUUAGACUCAGAGAUCCACAUGCCUCUGCCUCCCGAGUGCUGGGGAUUAAGGGUGUACCAUCAUGCCCAGCCAUUGACUCUUUUAAAAAAUUUGGGUUCUGAAAUGCUUCCAGAUAAAGCCUGCUGCACUUAGAGGAUUUCAUGAGAAUUAGCCCUCAAGCCACCCAGAGGUCAACACCACCUUCUUGGGCAGAAAGAGCAGCCAAAGUCUGGGCUGUGCCCUGCCAAGUGGCCUUGGUGUGGCUUGGUUGCAUAGCCCAUGACAAAGGCAUUGCCCUGGUCCUAGCUGCACUUCAAGUUAAACAGUAAAAAUCUAUCCCAGCAGGGCGUGAUGGCGCAUGCCUUUAAUUCCAGCACUCAGAAGGCAGAGGCAGGUGGAUUUCUGAGUUCGAGGCCAGCCCAGUCUACAAAGUGAGCUCCUGGACAGCCAGGGCUAUAAAGAGAAACCCUGUCUCAAACAAACAAACAAACAAACAAAAUCUAUCACAGGCUUGGGCUCCUCUGCAAACAGCUCUUCUGAGUACCAGGUAAAGUGAGCUCAGGCCUGGCCUGGGGCCGAGAGGAAGAUGGACUUAGGACCUAGGGCAGUGCUGAGCUCCCUAAAAUCAACAGAGGUAGUCAGCAAACUGGCUUUGACUGGAUACAAAUGAAGCCUGGCACUGGGAGACGGUAUUAGACGUCCUGAGUCGAUAUUCAAGAGGCAGGAUUAGAACGGUUAGAAGCCAGCUUUCCCAGUCAGAGCACUGGCAGGUGUGUAGCCACUUUUCAGCUUGCUUGUAAAAUUGGAAUAGAUGGGGUGUGCCUGUCGAUGUGCCCCAUGCAGCUCUUCCUUUUAUGUUUGAAUGGAGCCACCAUAUGUGAUGCAUCUGCAUGAGUGAAAUCCCAGCAGGACUCCUGGGAGGUCCCGUCACUCCAUUUUACAGAUAAGAAAGCUGAGGCUCAGAGAGAGAAGUGACUGGCCCAAAGUGUUGCUCCCCUAUGAAGGGGUAUAACAAGGUAGGGCUGGAGAGAAGGUUCAGAUUUCUGCUCCCCUAAAGGACCCACCCAGCCUUGGAUUUGGAUCCCAGCAGCCAUGUCAGGAAGCUCACAGCCUAUAUAACUCCAGUAUAACUCUGCUGUCUUCAACUUAAACACACACACACACACACACACACAAAUAAAUCUUUUAAAAGUAACAACAACCACAAAAGAGAGAUUUCAGUCAGUCUCUUCAGGAGCCAAACCCAACUCUGCCAGCUGUGAUACCAUACAGACAAGGGCUUUUCUGAAUAGUGUGUGUUCAUUCAUCCAUAAUAAUGAACAAUGGCUUGUCAAUGGUAUGUAUCCAGAGUGACCACCUAAUAAAUUACAGCUUCCCUAGUCUUUCAAGAUGUUGGCACUUUUCUUUUUUUUUUUUCUUUUUUUUUUUCUUUCUUUUUUUUUUUUCCCGAGACAGGGUUUCUCUGUAUAGCCCUGGCUGUCCUGGAACUCACUUUGUAGACCAGGUUGGCCUUGAACUCAGAAAUCUGCCUGCCUCUGCCUCCCAAGUGCUGGGAUUAGAGGCGUGCACCACCGCCGCCUGGCUUGGCACUUUUCUAGCUUGGCACUUUUCUAGUUAGUUAAUUGUUCAACAAACUAGCACCGAGAGGCAAGCCUGCCCACGAGCCACCCCCCUGGGUCCUGCCACACGUUGGCUGUGCAACCCGAGACAAAUGUCUCUGAGCUCUAGUGUUAAUGUAUACAGCUCAUAGAAUUGUUGAGAAAAGGUCCAAUACUGGAAAGCAUGGAAAACAAUGUUGGGGCCUCUGGGCAUUCCACUGAUGUGUGCUGUCAGGCUCUAGGGUGUGGCUCUUGUUCACAGGAUGUCAAGCCAGCUUUUAGUAUUAAUGAUACUUGUAUUAAACCAAUUAAAAUUUGUUUACAGUGAAACAAGUUUUAAUUGGUCUAAGGUAGGUUUCAACUUUCCUUUUAUUUAUUUAUUUUUUAAGGCAGGGUCUCACUAUGUGGCUCUGGCUGUCCUGGAACUCAUAUGUAGACCAGGCUGGCCUUGAACUCACAGAGAUCCACUUGUCUCUACCUCCUGAGCAGUGGGAUCAAAGGUGUGCGGCACUCCGUUCCUCUAAAGCUUUUUCUUCCUUAUGUAUUUGUGUGUGGGUAUGUGUACCUGAAUGCAGAUGUCCUUGGAAGCCAGAAGAGGUCAUCAAACCCCCUGCAGCUGGAUUUAGGGAGGGUUGUGGGCCUCCUGAUUUGAGUUCUGGGAACUGAACUCAAGCCCUCUGCAAGAACAGAGCAUGCUCUUGACCAGUGAGCUGUCUCUGCGGCUCCUGGGGUCAGGAGUAUUGACUGGAAAGCUCGGGCCCGUCUUUAUUCCUCACUGCAGGACUUAAAAGGCAGUGGUAGUGUACAUGCGAACAUAGCUGUGAGCCAGGCAAGGAUGGAACUCCGGUGAUCCCAGCUUGGGAGGUCCAUCUGCGAGGAUGGAUGCAAGUCUCCGCCUGGGACACAGAGUAAGACCUUGUCUCAAAACACUAACAGCAAAGAAUGACAGACGAACGGAAAAUAGAAAAGAAAAUCCUAGUGCUUCAAUCAUGUGUUAAAAGUGUUUAGCCAACUGGGAAGACGGUUGGGUGGGUAAAGAAGCUUCCUAUGCAAGCCUGAAGACCUGAGUUUGACCCCACAACUCACACCGACAAGAAUAAUCAAUACAGCGUUUAGAUGGCUGGCUACUCUUUUCUGGUUGUUACUGGUCUUGGUGCCUUUCAGGUGUGGUCUCAUUUUUCAGCAGCUUGGUGUACUGUAUGACAGAGUCACACCCUGCUAGAAGGUAUUCAAACCGUUUCCUAUUGCCAGGCACUUAAGCUUUUUGUAACGAUUUACUGCUCCAAACAAUGGUGCAUUAAGCCUGCUUGCAAACAAAUAAAAGUAUCCUAUUUCAGUUUACCAGCCCCAUGAAUUCCUUCUUUAUUAUUUUUUUAGGUAGAAUAUAAAAUAAUGUAUUUCAUCAUAGUGUAUGUGUAUAUAUAUACAUGUAUAUGUGUUAUAAGACUAAACUUUGUUCAUAUUCCCUGUGGCUGUCUUCAUCUGCCCACCUUCCUUCUGCUGGUCUCCGUUACCAACCAUAAAUUCUUAGAAGUAGAAUUGCUGUCUCAAGUUUUUUGAGUUUGAAUUUAGCUAUAUAUGUCCAGCUUGGUAUUCAGGAAGGAGAUGCAGGUAGUGGGGUGGCUAUAAGCAAAUAUCCCUAUACUUUAUAUUUCAGGGCUAAAAACAAUUGUUUUUUUUUCUUCCUAUGAAUUCAGUCCUGCCUUCUGCAUUCAGAAGGCAAGGCAGAAAGCCUGGCAUUUGCCGAAGACUCUGUAUAGCAAGAUUUUGUUGUUGGUUUGGAGAGAGAGAGAGAGAGAGAGAGAGAGAGAGAGAGAGAGAGAGAGAGAGAGAGAGAACGAGAAUGAAUCAGUAUACAGUCCAGGCUAGUCAUGAACUUGUCACCCUCCUGCCUCAGCCUCUGAAAUUCUGUGAUUAUAAGCAUGUGGCAUCCAUACCUGGUUUGAUGCAGCGAAGUCUGAGGCUAGCCUAGACUACAUAGUGAGAUUCUGACUCAAAAAAAUUAAAACUUAAUACAGAAUUAUAACUUUUCUUGUGAAGAAGACCUGUCAUUUGAGUCCCCCUGAGCUCUGGUUUUGUUGGGGAUGUGCCCAUACAUUUCUAAGUGAUGAAUUCCUAAGAUCCUGUCUCCAGCAUUUAGUGUUCACAGACAUUUCUGGAGUUCAAGGCAAAAGGCCUUUGUGUUUCUAGCAUUCCCUCUUCUCCCAGGCCGACUGCCUCUGGUUUCCCAGCCUUUGCCGACUGGGCUCUCUCUUGACUUUUGGGAUAAAUAUUUAGAGAUUGUGUGUUCUUGUGGCAUGCUUGCCUUUGAUGCAGAGGGUCCAGGGUUCUGAUUGGAGGAAGCCUCUAGCCCUAUGGAGAUCCAAAGCUGCCAGCCAGUCGGAGCCCCUCUGCCUCUCCAGUUCUUGCAGGCAGGCGCCCUGGAAGGUUUGCAGGGCUCUCCUGCCCUCCUGCAGUGCACUUGGCUAGAGAUGAGACUUAAGACUGAUUUCCUUUUAGGGAUAAUUGUGCAGCCAACCAGCAGCAGAAAACCCAGUGACAGGGAUAAUGACAUCCAGGGCCUUGAGAAGGAGCAGAGAGAAGGGCAGAGUGACUCAUGAGCCCCUGCAUCCUCCCAGAACAUUCCAAGAACUGCCUGCCUGCUGAGUUCACACCCGGAGACUAUUAUCCUACCAGGGGCAGCAAGGCCAACUGCUGAGUGUUAGCCCCAGGGAGGGGAUUGCAGAUGCCCUGGAAGGAACAGCCCUGGAGUUGAAUUUCCAUCUUGGGAAGGAGACACACCACACUUUCCUCUUCAGCCUAGCUUCUAGGGACUGGUCCUCUGGAGGGACACAGACCUCAGAGCUGCUUGGGCCUGGCCAUAUCAUUUGUUUCUUUGAAUGUCAGUUUUCCAUCUUCUAAACAGGGAUCAAAAGGCCUUGAAGCAAUGUUGGGGAGCGACUGAAGAAGGGUAUUGUUUGACAUGAGCACAGCCUUGUCAAGAACCCCAGUGUCUCAGACCCAUGGAAGUGGCAAAGCGUUCCCUGGGUGAGGCUCAGAGGAUGGUAGAACCUUCCUCUUGUCCAUGUGUGGAUACUCACAGUCGCUCCAGAAAAUGCCCACUGUAACUUUCUCCCUGCUCCGCGUGCUGAUGUCCUGAAGACUGCUCCCCUACACAGGCUGCUUGUGUGGAGACUAGCUAAGCCUGCCUCCUUGUUUGCCUGUGUAUAAUAAACAUGCUGAUCGUCUCUGUCAGGCCUAAUCCCAGCUUUUCUCUGUAUGUGUGUAUUAUUUCUAUACAAGGAUGCAACAGAGCGGUCUCUAACACAGCUAGUAAUGAGUUCAUGUUGGGGUCUUGGCAUGCCACACAAAAAUGUGUGCUGUUACUGUGCUGGUGUUUCAACCUUCCCUUUGGCCUCACCCUCCCCUAAAGCUUGGAAUAUACUGUAAAGAGCUUGCAGAGGUCACAGUUAUAUGAAAUGUAUAUUACACAGAAAGAUAGAUUCAUUGGAUCCCAUUAAAUGACUAGCUGUGAGGUAGGAUUUUGCUAUUUUAAUUACACUUAUUUACUGUAUGCUGUACAUGCAUGAGGGGUCAGAGGACAGCUUACAGGAGUCAAUUCUCUCCUUCUGCUAAGUAGAUCCAGGGGACCAAACUCAGGUCAUCAGCCUUGGUGGCAAGCUCCUUUACCAGCUGUGCCUCUUGGUGGCCUCAGGCUUUGCUUUUAUCUCCUUCUGUGUACUGAGUUACAGAGCUGGAGUAAUCAGCUCACUGUAAGUGGUGGGGCCAGCAUAGCAUUCAAAGCAAGGCUGUCAACUCUAGGACCUAAUGUCCCCUAACCAUUAGGUUAUCCUGCCUCUCAGCGUAUCUACGUUUCCAUAGGAGAGUUUUCAAGUAUGAGCCAGGAAAGGAUGUUUUUCUUAUUCUCUUAAUUAAAACAAAACAAAACAAAACAAAACAAAACAAAACAAAGAAAAAAAACCCAACUGUUACUUUUCUCAGGAUAACAAGAUAACAUAAAGAAAUGGAACUGUAUACAGGAGUCUGUGUAGAUUGAGUUGGGGCAGCUUUGAGGUUCUUGAUUUUUGCAGACUGGAUGUCCUGGGUAUAUGUUUGUUCCACAGCUUGGCUUUCCUGGGGCUCCAGUUGGACAACUGGAGUCAAGCUGGUUUGCACCCAACUCUAUUAGAUGAGUUCCGUGUGUGUGUGUGCGUGUGUGUUCCUAUCUAUUCAUUCUAACAUUCUUUUCUUAUCUGUCAAGGCUUCAUAACAGACACCUCACCUCACAGGCCAGGGCUGCACACACCCUGAGUCACCAUCACAGACACAAUCACACUUGGCACUUAGCUUAUUCAUCCCCAGUAUUUCCCAUGGGUUUUACUACUGUAGUUUUUUUUUUUCAUAUGAAUACACAUUUCUAUGAACCGCCCCCCCCCCCAUGGCAUUUCCGGUUGCCAUGCUCCCGUGAACAGGGGGAUGACUUUAAUUGACUGUGAUGGAAUAAUAUUCUGCCUGGAAGACAUGCUGUAGCUUGCCAACUGUUCCUCCAGUAGUUAAAUCUCCAUGUAUUUGCCAUUACAGAAAUGCUAUGGGUAUAGCUUUGUUUCUAGAAAUAUUUUCCCACAUGUAAUAUUACUUCUGUAAGGGUUGAUUUCAUGGGAUGGAAUUACUGAGUUAAACAUUAAGAAAUUAGAAAUUUCCCCCCUUCUCUGGUGGUGGUGGUGACUAAUUAUUUAUUUUUUUAACACUCUUGCUGCAUAGCCCAGAUUGACCUCAAAUCAAGAUCCCUCUGUCCUGGGCUCCUAACUACUUGAAUUGCCACAGAGCCCAGUUUACUUUGUGAAGCCUAGGCUAGUAUAAACUUCUCUUAUAGCUGAAGCUGACCUUGAACUCGUGAUCUUCCUGCCUCUACCUUCUGAAGUCUGAGAUUAUAGGCAUGCCCCACCAUGCCUGGCUCACAUGUUUCCCAAGCUGACUUUCUGGGCUGCUGGCGUGUCUCCAUCAGAGUGCAUGGCACGUCUGACACCCCCCCCCCCAGCUGCUCUCUGUGCGUACCUGUCAUUUCUUCACUCCCCGUCUUCUCAGUCGAGUCAGUUCCAAAGCUGUUCAGGUUGUGGCACUUGACCCACUGGGCCAAUUCCCCCAUCCUCUGGCUCAUACAUCCCUCAUUAGAUACUAACAAAUUAUUUUCUAAGAUAUGUGGCAAUGCACACUCCUGCAGCCCUCUGCCAGAGCACCGGGUUAAGGGUGCCCUUUCUGCCUUUGUUCGUAAAGUUUAGUUAAUGGGAACAGUCUUAAUUGCUUUUAUUGGCAUUUCUUUGAUGACCGGCAAGGUUAAACAUUUUCUGUGCUUAUCACCACUUCCAUGUUCUUUAUACUCUGAUGAGCACUAGAGUGAAAACUUAAGACUUUGAACAAACUUCAAAGUACCUUAAAUCGGAGGCCAAAGUAACCCUGGGCACAAAGUCUCUGCAUAGUGAUGCCCGUUAUCCCUAGAGUCUGUGUUCUUGCCAUGUCUCCUGCUGCCAUGUUCUCCCUGGUGUCUCGAAGACCAUCAUGGGGACUCCUUUUAUGACCUUUAUAGCUGUUGUGCUUAGAGGCUCCCUCCCCCCUUUCCUCCCUCAAGCCCUCACUUGUGCUGAGCCAAUGCUCAACCACUGAGAUAGAUCCUCGGUACUGUUCCUUCCCUUCAGAACACCCCACCCAAGCUCAUGCCAAGUACUCCUCACCCAUAAUGCAACUCCUCACCCAUAAUGCCCCAGUGGCUUUACUUCCACAUCUCCUAUGAUUUCCUCAACCAUCCCCCUCCCUCUCUCACUUAAAGGAGUUGACCUUUUUUUUUUUGAAACAUUAAUUGCUGCCCUAAUGAGUCCAUUUUUGUGCCUACUUCUCAGUUUGACAUUUCUGAUGUCCAGUAGGAAGACCAUUUGAAAACUAGGUGGCUUAGUAAACUCUUAAGUGACUUCAGUGUGCUCUGCUUACAGAGCGGGCAAAGGGAGGCUCGAGGAGGCCCUUGAGCAGAGGUGGAAUCCAGCAAUAUCAGUUGACCUAUAUGCUCAGUGUAUGUUCCCUGGGGAUAUUUAUGGAAGAUUCAUUUCCUCUUUAUUAAUUCAAGAAACUACUUGUCAACGAGACAUGAUUUCUCAAUGUACCCAGAGUACAGCUAUUGAAAGAAGAUUCAUGCCAGUGCAGGGUGUGGUUGGGACAGGAGACCCAACACACAUUCCAUCCAGGUCCACCUCGGAAAGUAGCCUAUCCCACUCCCUGGGCUGGUAGACAUUUUAAUUUUAAUAUUGUUUUUUUCAGUUGCUUGUAGUGUGUGUGUGUGUGUGUGUGUGUGUGUGUGUGUGUGUGUGUGCGCGCGUGCAUGAAUAGCCAGAGAACAUCCUUGAGUGUCAUUCCUGGGGUACUAUCUACCUUAUUGUUAGUUGUCUCUUGAUGUUCAAGAGAAGAGAUUUUUAUACGCUUAUUUCAUGUAGUUUCAUGCACUAAGCAACAUCUUGGAAAACAGAAUAAAUGUGUCCAGGUUUAUUUCCACAGACACACACAUCCCUUACUCUCACUAAACAAACCGAGCCUCCUUCUGGGCUGUUGUAGCAUGUGGUAUAAUCAGCUGUUCAAGCAGCAGGCCUGCUAGCCCACCAUUUACUAUGGUCUUGCUUCAUCACCGUGGCUUGGAGGAGAGGGUUGCCAGCACCUCAGCAGUAUGGCCUGUGUAUGUUCUGACCAUGCAUUGGUUAGGCAAACACCAGAUGUUCUUGAUGCCUGCAUUGCCACGGAUUCUUAGGUGGGCAGUUGAUGGCAACAACUCCAAGGUCCUGGGCAGAAGGCUCAUGAUCUAGGGAGAUCAGCCCAUCUGUUAUAGGUGCACUGGUACAGGGACUCCACUCCGAGGAUAACCGAGAACUUCAAAACCCCAGGGUUUUAUCCUAAAGGGACAUGAAAGCACAGUAGAUCUGUGUGGCCAAGAGUAGUGAGAGGGAUAGCCUUGGAUGUCCACAGAGGCAGGACUCCAAGAGGAGAGCAGUGGGUGCUGCUGAGUGUCCUGCCAUCCUGGGCGUGGGGCUGGCAGCUGGCCAAGGUCUUGUGCCAGUAAUUAGAUGGUGACUAGAGAGGCUGCUGAGAGUGGAAAGUAGGCUCUGAAUUUGGCCCACUUGGGCAGUGUGGGUGGCCCUGCUUACUUCCAGCUUCGAGGCUUGAGUGAGUCACCAGGGCCACCCCAGGAUGCUCAGAGCACACGGCAGAGUCCAGAAUGCCUUUGGUCCUGGCAUGUGACCCUGGCCAUCAUCCUGGUCCUUUCUGGAGCUUGAUGACCCAUUGCGUGCAGUCAUUGGAGAAGGCUGCGACAGGCCAGGAGAAGGCCUGUAAUGUAAUUGACAUGGUUCCCCCACUGACCAUAUGGGAACAGUCAUAAAAAUCACCCGCGUGGGUCUCAUUUUACAGUUUACAGAGGAGGCAUUUGGGCUGUAUCAGCUACCAGCUGGGCAGCCUGGUGCUGCUCCAGCCUUGGAGACCUCGGUUUCCUCGUUUGGGAAACAGAAAAAAGUCACUUUGCUGUACCUGUCUGUGCCAUGGGCUUGUUCUCUGGGCAAGAAGAAAGGGGCAGGAGGAAGAAGAGGUAAAGAGGAAGAAGUGGAGCUUGGCAGAUAGGGGGAAAGGCUGAGAGAAAGGCUGCUGGCCUGGGUUGUAGGUGGGGUGGGAGCGAGGCCCGUUACUCCUCGUGGUUGUCUGAGGCCUCUGAAUAACCUUUCCGUGGACAUUGCCACAUUACAAGCAGGCCUUGUGAUAAUAUUCUUUCUAGCUGCAAAAUUAGCUUAUUUCUAGGAAAAAAGGUUUAGAAAAAAAUAAAUAUAAUGUAAGAUAAUAAAAAUAAAAAUUAAAUAUAAUGUAAGAUAAUAAAAUAGUCCUUUUUAAACUAUUAAUUUGGGAUGCUUUUUUCUCUCAUUGCUUAUGUGUCUACUUUUAAAUAUUUGAAUAAGGGGCAGGAGAGAUAUCUCAGUGGUUAAGAGCACCGACUGCUCUUCCAGAGGUCCUGCGUUCAAUUCUCAGCAACCACAUGGUAGCUCACAACCAUCUGUAAUGGGAUCCGAUGUCCUCUUCUGGUGCGUCUGAAGACAGCUACAGUAUACUCAUAUACAUAAAGUAAAUAACUAAUUCUUUUAAAAAGUAUAUGACUAGUACAAUUUAAGUCACAGAGUCAGAGUCUUCCUGAGUGUUCAGUCCUAGAACACAGGCUAUUCAUGCAUCCAUGUACAUUUAGCUUUGUGGGCUCAGAUUGUAGGCCAGACAACUCUCCAGAGGAACAGGACAGCAGGGCACAUAUAUGAAGAGAUUGCUGUUGUUGGUGGUUGGGUUUUUGUUUGUUUGUUUUGUUUUUCUGUUGUUGUUUCCAGGAGCUGGUUCACAUAACAUAAGGUUGGCAGGUUGAAAUGUCUUUAGGGUGAUCGUCACACCAGUCCAGAAGCACGGGAGAGUCCUAGCAAUAUUGAGGCUCGGCGCAUCCCCUCCUGUGCUCACCCUCUGUCAUCCUCUCCUGAGCACACCUGGUCUUGCAGCUCCCCGUGCCUCAGCAGUGAACCCUGCAUCUCUGGCUCUUGUUUUGAAUUGGUUUUCCAAACUUGAUUGAGAAUUCCUGGUUUGCAGUGACCACAUCCUGUCCUUUUCCUCCGCCUUCAGGCUGAGCACACAGACCGCAUGGAUUCUGCUGGAUUCAGUGAUGAGCUGGGCUCUGCUCUAUCACUUUUUCUCCCUCCGCACGCCCAGAGCAGAGGACUGCUCGGAGCCGGGCCCAUCAUCCUUUCUUCUCUUCUUCUCACAGCCAUGUCCUCUGACAGAAAUAAGAUGAUACAGAGCAUGUCUGCAGAGCAUGGGGCCAGCGAGGUGUCUGAUGGAGGGUAAAGGUGUUUGCCUCCAGGCCUGAUGAUCUGAGUUUGAUACAUAUGGUGGAAAGAGAGAACUGACUCCAGCAAAUUGUCCUCUGACCUCCACAUGAGUGACAUAGCACGUUUGUGCCCCUACGUAAACAUACAAAAGAAAUACUAAUGUGAUUUUUAAAAUUCAGAAGUCAGGCAUGGUUCCUAUGUUUUAAGUGAGAGACUCUGGAAAGCUGGCCAUGUCCCUUCUCACUUCUACAUUUCAUAUUUGUUCUUUUUACAAACAUUUAUAGGGCACCAACUACAUACCAAGUCUUAUUUUUAGGAGUGAGGCAUACGGCUUUGAACAGGAUAGACAGGUAUCUGGGCCUCGUAGAUGAGAUCAGCAGUAUCAAACACAUGAUUGGAGUUGUGAGUAGCCGUGGCUUGCUGGGGAGCAUACAGGUGACCAGACAGAAGGGCUAAAGAAGUCCUCUCUGAGGAUGUGACCCAAGACCUAAAGGGUCAGGACUGUUCUAUGAGAAUGUCUUAGUUAGGGUUUUACUGCUGUGAACAGACACCAUGACCAAGGCAACUCUUAUGAGGACAACAUUUAAUUAAGGCUAGCUUACAGGUUCACAGGUUCAGUCCAUUAUCAUCAAUGUAGGAGCAUGGUAGCACCCAGGUGGGCAUGGUGCAGGAGGAGCUGAGAGUUCUACAUCUUCAUCUGAAGGCUGCUAGAAGACUGAGCAUCCUCAAGUAGCUAGGAGGAGGACCUCAAAGCCCACCCCCACAGUGACAUAUUUCCUCCAACAAGGCCACACCUCCUAAUAGUGCCACCUCAUGGACCAAGCAUAUUCAGACCACCACAGAGAAUCAUGAAGAUGAAUGUCCCAAAUGCUCCAGGCACAGACACAUGAUUUCCAGGACCCCAAAAGCAACAACGUGGAGGUGCUAGAAGACUAGUGAGAGGUGAGGUACUAAAGUCUAAAAGGAGCUUUUAGGAAUCUUUUCAAGGACACAGAAAAGCCAGUGUAGGGUCUGAGCAGGGGAGUGUUGUGCUCUGAAGAUUAGAGGUGUCCACUUCAUUGACUUUGUCUAAAAUUAAAUAGUUACUGUCCAUGUUUGAUGAAAUGGGGAUUUUUGUUUUGUUUUUCUUUUUGGAGACAGGAUUAUUACCUCCUGUAAUUUGACUUGACAUGGUCAGUUGUGGGGCCUGAAAGCUGGCUCAAGGAGAGGUGCUUGCCUAUAAAUCUCUCUACCCCUGGAACCACAUGAUCAAAAA